UAUAUGCCUAAAUGAGGCCGUAGCACAGUUAACGGACGAGCAGAGGUGGUGACGUCAUCGAGUCCGCUGCUGUUCCAAUUGCAGGUACGUACUCGCGUGCUCGCAAGUCUGUGCUUGAAGUACGGACUUGCCAAGUACGUACUUGCAAGUCAUCGAGUCCGUAGUACGCGUGCUAGGAAUUGAGAAACGGCCUUACACACCGCUAAAUCGGAAACCAAAGAUGAACCAUGGAAAGAUCUCGCAGAGCAGCUUGUUCCAGGAACUUGGUUGGAGAAAACUGGACAUGAUAUCGAGGUACAUGCCUUUUUUCUCGUCUAACUUUUAAGGAAUAAAUCGUUUUUAUAUGUGUUUCUAAUGUUAUGUUUUACCUUCAUGGUUCAGGGACUUCCACCACAGGAAUAUGGGAACGACUGUGGGAUCUUCAUGAUUAUGUACGCUUGGUACCUUGCCAUGGAGGCACCAUUUGACUUCACUGUUAAAGACAUGCCAGUCCUCAGAAAAUGGUGGUGCACAGUACAGCUUGAGAACUUCCACCUGGAUGGGCACGGUAGAAGGUUCGCACACUUCACGGAGGAGGCCAAACAAAUGGCGGUUGGACUACUUCCACCAGUCUUCAGACUGAAGCGAAAAAGAGAAUGAGUUGGAGCUGAUGGCAGCAUGAAGAACCUAUAUCUUUAAGAUUCUGUAGAUUAUGUGUUGAAUAAAUUGUGAGGAAA
rnacentral:lncRNA from 1 species